rnacentral:SRP_RNA from 1 species
GGGCAUGGAGGCACAUACCCAUAGUACUUGCUACCAGAGAGGCUGAGGCUGGUAAUCUCUUGAUCUUGGGAGUUCUGAGCUGUAGUAGGUUAACCCCAUCAGGUGUCUACACUGAGUCUGGCAUCAAUAUGGCAAGGCUCAGGAGUGAGAAGCCACCAGGUUGCCUAAAGCAUAGGUUGGAAAUGGAGCAGGUCAAGGCUCCUGAGUCAAUCAACAGUGGGAUUGGACCCAUGAGUAGUCACUGCAUUUCUAGCCUAGACAAGAUAGGGAGAUCCAAUU